CCCUUAGAUGUCCUGGGCUGCACGCGCGCUACACUGAUGCGUCCAAUAAGCACCUAACCUAAUCCGAAGGGACCGGGUAACCUUAGCAAAGCGCAUCGUGAUGGGGAUAGAUUAUUGCAAUUAUUAGCCUUGAACGAGGAAUUCCUAGUAAGCGCAAGUCAUCAGCUUGUGUUGAUUACGUCCCUGCCCUUUGUACACACCGCCCGUCGCUCCUACCGAUUGAGUGAUCCGGCGAAUACUUCGGACUGCAACCGGUGCGGUUUCCGUACCCUUUGCAAAAAGUUGAAUAAACCUUAUCACUUAGAGGAAGGAGAAGUCGUAACA
rnacentral:rRNA from 1 species